rnacentral:rRNA from 1 species
GACGAACGCUGGCGGCGUGCUUAACACAUGCAAGUCGAACGGAAAGGCCCUGCUUGUGUUAGUUGCUCGGGUGGCGAACGGGUAAGUAGCACGUGAGUAACCUGCCCUUGAGUGUGGGGUCACUUCAGGAAACUGGGGUUAAUACCGGGUAGGCGCUCCUGCUGCAUGGUGGGGGUUGGAAAGUUUCGGCGGUUGGGGAUGGACUCGCGGCUUAUCAGCUUGUUGGUGGGGUAUUGGCUUACCAAGGCGUUGACGGGUAGCCGGCCUGAGAGGGUGACCGGCCACAUUGGGACUGAGAUCCGGCCCAGACUCCUCCGGGAGGAAGCGGUGGGGAAUAUUGAAAAAUGGGCGGAGGCCUGAUGCAGCAACGCGGCGGGCGGGAUGACGGCCUUCGGGUUGUAAACCGCUUUCGCAUGGGACGAAGCGUGAGUGACGGUAAUGGGUAAAGAAGCACCGGCUAACUACGUG